CGUGUAGGCGGUACGGUAAGUCAGAUGUGAAAGCCCUCGGCUCAACCGAGGAAGUGCAUUUGAAACUGCCGAACUAGAGUACGGGAGAGGGUUGUAGAAUUCCCGGUGUAGAGGUGAAAUUCGUAGAUAUCGGGAGGAAUACCGGUGGCGAAGGCGGCAACCUGGACCGAUACUGACGCUGAGACGCGAAAGCGUGGGGAGCAAACAGGAUUAGAUACCCUGGUAGUCC
rnacentral:rRNA from 1 species